rnacentral:lncRNA from 1 species
GCCUAAUUCAGAAAUAUCAUAAAUCUCCAAGUUAAAAAAGCAAGCUUCAGUUCACUUGCGUAAGAUUCAGAAAAAUCAUAAAUCUCCAAGUUAAAAAAGAAGCAAGCUUCAGUUCAUUUGCAUAAGAGACAAUUUAUUUUAUAGAAACCUAUACUAUUACAUAUUUACAUUAAAAGGGCCUAGGGAGAAUUGGGGAGGAGCAAAGGAAAAAUUAAGGGAAACCUAGGAAAAUUUACCUAUGCACCAAAAAAUAAAAUUAUAAACCUAAUAAUUUCAAUUAGAAAAAUAACCUUGAAUUUAGCAUUUUAAUUCUAAACAAAGUGUUAA